rnacentral:rRNA from 1 species
GAAUCUUGCGCAAUGGGCGAAAGCCUGACGCAGCGACGCCGCGUGAGCGAUGAAGGCCUUCGGGUUGUAAAGCUCUGUGGGGAGGGAAGAAUAAGGUCCGCCUAAUACGUGGACCGAUGACGGUACCCCCUUAGCAAGCCCCGGCUAACCCUGUGCCAGCAGCCGCGGUAAGACAGAGGGUGCAAACGUUGUUCGGAAUUACUGGGCGUAAAGCGCGUGUAGGCGGCUUUGCAAGUCGGGCGUGAAAUCCCAUGGCUCAACCAUGGAAGUGCACUCGAAACUGCAGAGCUAGGGUCCUGGAGAGGAAGGUGGAAUGCUUGGUGUAGAGGUGAAAUUCGUAGAUAUCAAGCGGAACACCGGUGGCGAAGGCGGCCUUCUGGACAGUGACCGACGCUGAGACGCGAAAGCGUGGGGAGCAAACAGG